CUUCCCCUCCGUCUAUAUCCACCACCACCACGUCGCACCGUAACAAACUCGUAUGCGCAGUUGGAGUUGGUUGCGAUUUGACCUCUCCUUGCGCAGGUAUAAAGCUAGCCCCUAUCGUGCCCUUCUCAUCUAUCGGCCGACCGCCACAUAUCCUCGUCGUGGGCACCGAGCCACCACCGUUGCGAAGGGAGAGAACAGGAUCUUUGGUGCAUGCGAAUACUCCAAUUCAACAUCGCUGCGCUGUCGGGUCUGGUCGGGGAGGUUCGCCGGUGGGCACCAGAAGCUUUUGCAGCACGAUUGGGCGUAAGGGAUGAUCAUGGCGAGCAAGAUUCCUCAUCAGCGACUGGGAAUCGCCAUCGUUCGCAGUCCACCGUGGGUGGAAGUCUCUACGACAUGGUCAAUGGUGAGACCUCAUCUACCCUACAUGCCUCUUCCGGUAUGCGAUGGGCUUUGGCGCGCGGCGGUGCGGCACCGCUCCUCCCCGGCAUGUACGCCGCCGUGCGAGCUUGGCUCCACGCGCUUGAAACACCAUAGAAGAAGAGAUGUGUAUCCACCGUCGAUCGGAUUUAUAACGACUAUGAUAUUGUUUUGGCCUAGAUAGGCGGUGGUCGAGCGAUCGACAUCGGAUGACGGGUAUUAGAAUGCGAGAACGGCUUCGAUCAUUAAAUCAAAACCGUCGAUCACAGGAUCGACGUCUAGCUUUACAUAUCAGUUCACAAAAGGUCGAUAUAAUCCGAGCCACUGGUUUUUGAUCCAACGGUGCAAGUGAAAACAUACCCCUUCGGCCGAACUUCGGCCGAACAUAGUUGCAUAAGAGCCCCUACACUUUUUACAAAUAAACCCGCGGUCCAGCCCAGGUCAGAAACCCUUUCAACAAGGUCCUGUAAUUUGCAGAGUAAACCCUGGUCUUUUAUGAAAUGGUGGCUUCGGUCCAUGAAAUUCUGUUCAUCGACAAAAUUUAUUCGAAAAUGAUUUUUUAUGAAAAAUUAAUUCUAAAAACCUUAGAAAAUGCAUAACUAAUUCGUUUUAACUCCGUGUCACUCUUUUCAAAUUGCAUUAACUUCGUAAUAAAAUUGCUACACAUUAAGGACAUUAUUUUUAUCAUUCCGCAUACUUUUAUAAUGGGAUAUUUUUUUUAGCUUAUGUUAGUUGAUUAAUCAAUCUAGUCAGUCAACCUCUCUAGAAUUAUAAUCUAACUAAAAUAGAUCUCUAACCAAGUUAUAACCUAGAUUAAAGUUGAAUUAAUUAUUUCUUUAAAAUAUUUUCUCAUAUGAUUUACGCUAAUCACCAUAGAAUAUAGUUACUAUUAAUGAAUCACAAAGAUCUUCUGAAAAUUGUAUCUUUAUAACUGUAACCCUGAUUCUAUUAAUUUUUGAACCUACGACCUCAUAGCAACGCGUAGAAUAUUCUUACGUGGUUUGUUCUCAUGUUUGGUGUAAUGUUAUUUUUAUGUACUCCUUGUCUGUUUGUAUGUAUUGUUAUGAGUACCAACGAGGUUACGAGAAUCUGAAGACCAAGUUGGUACCUGGGAAUCUCGAGUCUAAGGCAAGUUGUGUCCUUGAUCACUUUUCUUUACCCAAUAAUGUUCCUGUUAAUCACUUUGAUGUGCUCAAGUUAAUCUGAUGGGACCUAAUAGGUUUCCCUAGACUUGUUUAUCCCACACCUUGUUGACCACUGAACUUUUAGGGUAGUUUUGCUAUUGCUCUACCUAGUUUUAGGAUUAAUACUACAUUAUGAUCAUGUUUCAGUUAUACUAUUGUUUUAAUUAUUGUUCAUGACAAGAUCAUUGUGUUAAUUGGAACAUGGAGCUUAACUUGAGAAACAUGUGCUACCACAAGGGUAGAAUAUGACACCCUUGGCUGACUAAUUAGGAAAGCUAGUGGAGGACUACGUUACUCGAAAGGGGCAAGGGAAGUAGGGGAGUUGUCGGUAUAGGGAGGUUCUUAUGUCGAUCAUGCUGCGAUGGCUUUUUGGACGGGGGAUUCCUAUAUUGCUAGUAGAACUUUGUAAAGGCCUCAUAGUGGAUCCCUAGUCAUUCACCUCGGAAGUGCCUAAGGGUCUGGCUAACCCUGGCUAGACGGGAUACACGACUUGUGGGUAAAGGGCGCAACCUCUUCAGAGUAUAAAAUUGGUAUAUCAGCCGUGCUCGCGGUCAUGAGCAGCUCAGGACUCUCGCAUGAUUAAUUUAUAGAACUAAAUUUAAUCUGGCAUAUGCAUUGCAUCGCGGGUGUUAUUAUCCAUUUUGAUUUGUUACUUAAUUGGGUUGAUAUCUACUUAUACUUAGUAACUGCUAAUAAAAUUUUGACCAACUUUAGAAGCAAUGCUCAGCUUUAACCAUCUCAUUUGGUAAGCCUUACACUUCACAUGAGCUACCACUUUUGGUGAGUUCAUGCAUAUUAUUCCCCACAACUUGUUGAGCGAUGAACGUAUGUGAGCUCACCCUUGUUGUACUCGCAUCCCCCCAGGUCAAGAACAGGUACCACUGGAUGAGGCGCAUGAAGGAUGAUGUGAUGAGUUUGUG
rnacentral:lncRNA from 1 species